ACACGACUACAUUAGAUACCCGCGUAGUCCCAGCCCUAAACGAUGCGCGUUAGGUGUAUCGGUGACCACGAGUCACCGAGGUGCCGAAGGGAAACCGUGAAACGUGCCGCCUGGGAAGUACGGUCGCAAGGCUGAAACUUAAAGGAAUUGGCGGGGGAGCACCNCAACGGGUGGAGCCUGCGGUUUAAUUGGACUCAACGCCGGGAAGCUCACCGGAUAAGACAGCGGAAUGAUUGCCGGGCUGAAGACCCUGCAUGACCAGCUG
rnacentral:rRNA from 1 species